rnacentral:rRNA from 1 species
GCGAACGCUGGCGGCAGGCUUAACACAUGCAAGUCGAGCGGGCGUAGCAAUACGUCAGCGGCAGACGGGAGAGUAACACGUGGGAACGCGCCCUUUGGUUCGGAACAACACAGGGAAACUUGAGCUAAUACCGGAUAAGCCCUUACGGGGAAAGAUUUAUCGCCGAAGGAACGGCCCGCGUCGGAUUAGCUAGUUGGUGAGGUAAUGGCUCACCAAGGCGACGAUCCGUAGCUGGUCUGAGAGGAUGACCAGCCUCACUGGGACUGAGACACGGCCCAGACUCCUACGGGAGGCAGCAGUGGGGAAUAUUGGACAAUGGGCGCAAGCCUGAUCCAGCCAUGCCGCGUGGAUGAUGAAGGCCUUAGGGUUGUAAAGUCCUUUUGACGGGGAAGAUAAUGACGGUACCCGUAGAAGAAGCCCCGGCUAACUUCGU